rnacentral:rRNA from 1 species
UACGAAGGGGGCUAGCGUUGUUCGGAAUUACUGGGCGUAAAGUGCGCGCAGGCGGUUCUUUAAGUCAGGGGUGAAAGCCCAGAGCUCAACUCUGGAAUUGCCUUUGAAACUAGAGAACUUGGGUACGGGAGAGGUGAGUGGAAUUCCGAGUGUAGAGGUGAAAUUCGUAGAUAUUCGGAAGAACACCAGUGGCGAAGGCGGCUCACUGGCCCGUUACCGACGCUCAGGCGCGACAGCGUGGGGAGCAAACAGG